GCAGCAAAACAGCCCCAGACCAUCACACUACCACCACCAUAUUUUACUGUUGCUAUAAUGUUCUUUUUCUGAAAUGCAGCGUUACUUUUAUGCCAGAUAUAAUGGGACACACACCUUCCAAAAAGUUCAACUUCUGACUCGCCAGAGUAUUUUCCCAAAGGUCAUGGGGGUCACCGUCAAUGUUUUCUGGCCAAAUUGAGACGAGCUUUAAUGUUAGGAUUUUUUUUUUCUCUCUUAAUAAUAAAAAGUUUCAUUUAAAACCAGCAUUAUGUGUUCAGCUGUGUUGUCACUCACUAAUAUUUAAAUUGUUUGAUGAUCUGAAACAUUUAAGUGUGGCAAACAGGAAACACUUUCUUAAAACGGCAGUGUGGCUUCUUUCCAAAAACGUAUUGUAUUUGCCAUGAAAGCUGAUUUUAAGUCCAUUUAACAAUUGUAAUGCUUUGUCAGCAGCUAGGAAAAUAUCACUAUUGGGCUUUUAGCCUUCAAAUUGCUUUGUAAAACUGACCUGACGCAUUUGUCACAACCGCAAAAAUAAUACAACACUCAAUAAAUGUCACUUAUUGUGACAUACUGUAUAUAUGUGAAUAUAUGUUCAUUACUUAUAAGAUCUACUUAUAAGAAGAAAAUCUUAUAACUUAUAAGGAGAGGUUCUGCAGGUCCUUCGUACCGACCGCUGUCAGGCUCUACAACACCUGCACCACCUGAACCAUGUUGUAAUCAAUAUGUUUUCUUUACUUGCGUAUCUUGCUUGCUGCUGUAACAAGUGAAUUUCCCUGCUGUGGGAUAAAUAAAGUACAAAUACAAAUACAUGUGCUACACAAAACGUGUCAAGUUAAGAAUACAUCUAGCUAGAUGUAUUCUUAACUUAAUACCUGAUAACUUGAUACUACUGAUCAUGCUAGCAUGAGCAGCAUUAUCUAUACCAGGGGUCACCAACGUGGUGCCCGCGGGCACCAGGUAGCCCCCCACGACCACAUGAGGUGCCCGCAAGCCUGCUUUUCAUUCGUGUUUUCAGUUAAUAAUGAAAGAACUCUAGAAAGAAAUGCAUUCUGAAAUACAAAACGUGAGUUGUGGACACCAGCAUUUUGUUAAUGUUCUGGUAAAAUAAGCUCUGAAAAUAAAUGUUACAAAAAUGAGUAGCUCUUGGCCAUUUUCAUUUUUUAAAAGUGGCUCUCACAAGGAAAAACGUUGGUGACCCCUGAUCUAUACAGUAAAGUACAGUAUUUAUGUAACGUCACACACCUUACACAUUCAUUCAUAGUAUUUUACGGAAAACAUCACUUAUAUAAUACAUUUACCUACACACGUAUUGACUGUAUUAUGCCUGUUUGCUCUUCUGUGGGACCAUGUUCUUAUGCUGUAGUUGCGCUGUACACUCUGUGUGGUGCGUUUAGGUGUCACUGGACUUUGCACUUUGCUAUGGUGUGUGACAAGGACUACUUCCUGUCUUGUCUGUUUAACAAAUGGUUAUGGAUUCGGAGGAGCUUGCUAGGGAGAAGAAUAGCAUUGAUGAGUUGACAAAGAAAGCGCUGCAAGAAUAUGAACGCCUGCAAAAGAAGCACCAGGCAGCAACCAUGAAGUGUAAGGCAAUGCAGGAGGAAAGAGAUGAGGCUAUGAAAAGGCUCCAUGAAUUCCAGCAAGUUUCUAAACUGGUGAUUGAAGAGGUGGCUGCCAUUCAGGAGAAAUUGGAGAUUGAGAGAACAUGCAGAGAAAGUGCAGAAGCCCUGGCCUCCAAGUUGAAUCGACAGAAGCGUUCUCUGAAGAGGAAGAGCGCGAUGCUGCUGUCUCAGGUCAGUCCACAGACCAUCAGGGAGAUCAGCCUUGACGAUGAAGAGGAGGAAGAUGAAGAAUUUCCUGACUGCUCAUCAGCUCAGUGCCAGACCAAAAUCUCAGAGCUGCAAAGUGUAUUACAGUUGACACUGAGGAAGAAAGAUGAAGGAUGUAAUGAUAUCGCAACGCUGACGGAACAACUGGAGGAAACCACACAACAACUGCUGAAAGAGAAGCGUGACAAGACUGCUUGCAUUGCUGAGAUGGAGCAGCUGAAGAAGCUGCUGGGGAAAUACAACACAGUGUCUGAGCUUGCUGUGGAGGAAUACGAGGCCAUACAGGACACUUUGACGCUUGAGCAGGAUUUGCGAGACAAAGCAGAGACGUUUGCCAGAGCCAUGGUUGUUGAGCAAAAGAUGCUAAAGAGACAGAGCCAGAUUCUGAUGGAGAAGUCCUCACCAGACCAAGCUCUGCAGGAAGCACUCAGCCAGCUCACCAUGCUGAGCAGAGAUUGGGAAGCACAGCGGCUGGAGCACCACAAGCAGAUAAAGCACCUGGAGGACAAAUUAAGGAGCUGCGAGCCUGGAAAGGAGCUGACAGCCUUGAGGUGGAAACUUCAGCUCGUUGAGGAGGAGACGCGCCAGUGCAAUGACAAGUGCUCCAAGGCCCAAGCAGAGGUCAAGCAUCUGAGGUUGACAGUUGAAGAACUUGAGAGAAAACUGCAAGCAGCUACCAAGCUACCAUGUCCUCCUCCACCACCUCCUCCACCACCUCCUCCUCCAACCAUAGCAGCCUCCAACCCACUCAGCUCCCUGCUGUCACUGAUGGCACAGAGACACAUGACAAGCAGCAACAAUGCUGGCCAAACAUCAUGUUCAACAAGUGAAGUGGCUGUCAGGCAGCAGGCAGUACAGGAAAUGAUGGACAGGAUCAAGAACGGAGUUCAGCUUCGGCCUGUCAGCCAAAGACCUCCUAACAAGAGACAGAUGGAGAAGACGCCCUCUCAUUCUGCCUUCCAGGAACUUAAAGCAAUCAUGGGUGAUUUUAACAGAAGCCCUACUCAAGCAGAACGUGCACCUUCAUCCACAAGCUCCGAUGACGAGCUGCAGAAGAUCCUGCUGGGACGCUGUCGUGUACUGAAGGCAUCAAACGCAACAACACAAUAACAGGUUCCAUGUUUUAUUCUUUACAUUUCUCAAUAGACAAAAUAACUACCUGUUCAUCUGGACUUGAAAUAGCGCUGCAAUACGCAUGCCAAGCCAGUAGCGGCUUGUCCUCGAGGAAAGACAAUGUCUUUCAUUCAGUCAAUGAACACUUGGGUCAUGUGACUCCACUGCUGAAGUUUGUACUUCAUUCAGAAGAAACGCUACUUGCACUACAGUUUCAUGUUUAAUGUUUCACGCAAUGGAUGGAAAAUGGAAGAAAAGAAGUUUAUAAACCUGGAAAAGGAUUUGUAUUCUCAAAUUGUCUUAUUGCUGAUUAAUUAUGAACUCUUUCAGCUUGUUUGACACCCACUGAAGCACAGGUGUCAAACUCAAGGCCUGAGGGCCAGAUGUGGCCCGCGAAGGCCUGGGAAUGGAUUUGUUCAUUUGGACAGAAAAAUUAUACUGCGUGUAGUUUUUCUGAACUUGAAUAUUAUCUGCAAGUUAUCCAUCAGUUUGUUAGUCCAAAUGUAAUAGUAUCAUGUGCUUAUAUUCAUCUAUAGGUUGUCAGUUACAAUUGAGGGCACCAAUAACUGACACGUGGCCCUCGUUGACAACCAGUUUGACGCCCCUGCACGAAACGGACGACAGUGUGUGCAAGCCUUGCCUGCCAUCUGAGUGCGCUUGGUGAUCCACAGUAGAUCCACAGCGUUGGAUCAUGGCGCCCGUGCAAUGUCUUUCAUGGGAGUGUGACUUCUUCUUCUUGCUAAUCCCACAAUAAAAUGCGUACAAAUAUCAUAUGGGAGGCACUCGCAGUACUUGCGUGAGCAGGAAGGUGCUUGUCACUGCUGUCCUUCCAUAGAGAGGUUUGUUUGUUUGUUUGUUUGUUUUGACAGCAGCUGCACCAGCUGGAGAGCAGCAAGUCAAAUGCAUUCACGAUAUUUUGAUGCUCUGUCGAAUGAAUUGGACCGCCAAGAUGGAGGAUUAUACAUCCAAGCUCACCAGGAGGUGAUCAGACUUUUACAACAAAGUAUUGGAGAAGGAUAAGGCAGGCUGCAUGUACUUCAUAUACAAAUGAAAGAUAAGAUCUAGCAGAUCAGGACCUCCCUAGCGUAUACAGUGCAAUAAAUACAUUUUGUGUAACCAAAGUGAAUUCUGAUCUUUGUUUUCUUAUCUUCUUAAUGAGCCAACUGUAUUAAUAUAAAAAAAACUCCAAAGGAGUCAGUGCCUCACCAGCCGUGAACCUCACUGCACGUCACUGUGAGGUGGUCAUGUGAUCUAACAUUAGCAUUGCCACAGGGUUCUCCUGCAGAACCGUGAGGAGUCCAAAAGAGAAGUUGUAGUGUUUGUUGUCUGCAAACAUGUGAAAGUAUUUACGGGGUGAAACUGUGCUGUACUUCAUUUACUGUGCAUGGUGUGCGGAUCGAUACUGCCGAUACCAUCUCUUCAUGCUCCAAGUCAAAAUAUCGAUACUUUUGAUACUUCAUUUUGUUUUGAUGUUUGUCUGUUGAAAGAAUGAUGACCGAUGCGUUCUUAGUAAUUAAAUUAUUUCAAUGGUUUUAUCAUGUUUUUAUUGUUUAAAAGACCAUUUUCACAUAUUUCAUAUGAUUUUGUAGUGUUGUAUAUUAGCUUGGCUGUAUUGCUACCUCCACUGGUUUAAAAUGAAUCAAAUAAUGAGUAAAUUAUUAUGCUUUUAAUUAAUACUUUAUCUAAACUGAAUUAAUUUAAUUAAAAAAUUAUGAAAUGUCUUGAAUUGUUUAUGCUGUGAUAUAAAAUACACUUUUUAAAAUUGGUACUUUUUAAAACUGUCUACUAUGUCUACUAUAUUGGGUGAUAGGAGUGAAAAGGUGACUAUAGGGGUGUUAUUUCAUGUCUAAAGGGCUCUAAUAAUGUUAGUGUGUUUAGAAUAUGGUAAACAGGUUAAUAUGUUUUAUUUUCUCUUAUUAUGUCUACUAUAUUGGGUAAUAGAAGUUUCAAGGUGACUAUAGGGGUGCUAUUUCAUGUAUAGAGGGCUCUAAUAAUUUUAAAAUCAUAUUUAGAAGGUCGUAAACAAGUUUUCUAUGACUUAUACAGUAUGUUUUAUUUUCUCUUACUAUGUCUACUAUAUUGGGUAAUAGGAGUGUAAAGGUGACUAUAGGGGUGUUAUUUCCUUUCUUGAGGGCUCUAAUAAUGUUAAAAAUCAUAUUCAGAAGGUUGUAAACACGUUUUCUAUGAGUUAGAUGUCUUAUUUUUUCUUAUUAUGUCUACUAUAUUGGGUAGUAGGAGUGUACAGGUGACUAUAGGGGUGUUAUUUCCUGUCUGGAGGGCUCUAAGAAUGUUAAAAACUGUAUUUAGAAGGUGGUAAACAGGUUUUCUAUGCUACCAAAAUAUUUCAUUUAUAAGUAAGGAAUCGUACUUUGUGGAAAUUCACUUAUUACAGUCAGGUCUGGAACCAAUUAACUGCCAUAAAUGAGGAAUUUCUGUAGAUUUAUAAAGUAUACAUACUAUAUAUACAUACUAUACAUUUAUAAGUUUAUAAGCCGCCGUUUGGAAAUGUUUAGUCGUGUUAGUAAGGUCCCUUUUAUAAGCGGCAUGUCUCGUGAG